UAUAGUAAACUAUUACAUGAUCAAAAACAAAUUAAUUUUAGCCAAAAAAAAGUCUCUGUUUUGAAUGUCUGGGUUCGGCAGAAGUUUGUGACGUUAAAAUGGGAUCAUGAUCCAAAACAGGUUGGAAACCACAGGAUUAAACAGCGUUUAUGUCUGUAGAU